rnacentral:rRNA from 1 species
UACGUAGGGUGCAAGCGUUGUCCGGAAUUAUUGGGCGUAAAGAGCUCGUAGGCGGUCUGUCGCGUCAGCUGUGAAAACCUGGGGCUCAACCCCGGGCCUGCAGCCGAUACGGGCAGACUAGAAUUCGGUAGGGGAGGACUGGAAUUCCUGGAUGUAGCGGUGAAAUGACGCAGAUAUCGGGAAGAACACCUAUGGCGAAGGCAGCUCUCUGGGACGGUACUGACGCUGAGACGCGAAAAGCGUGGGGAGCGAACAGG